AUCAUUACUAAUGAUUUGUCUGUUUGGUGCAAAGCUCCCCUUUUCGGGUAGAGCUUUAAACCGGCAGACGCAACUACCCUUUGUGCACUGUGAGAAACUUUGGGUUUGUAGUCGACUCUUUCAACGGUAAUUGAUUACGGUUGAAAGCAGGUUGAUAAAGAACCCAGAAUUAAUAACCAACCUUUAAACUUUUGCCUGAAUUUAAUUUUAAAAAUUAAAAACAACUUUUGACAACGGAUCUCUUGGCUCUCGCAACGAUGAAGAACGCAGCGAAAUGCGAUACGUAAUGUGAAUUGCAGAAUUCCGUGAAUCAUCAAAUCUUUGAACGCACAUUGCACUCUAUUUCGGUAGAGUAUGCCUGUUUGAGAAUCUAAAGUAUUUAUUUUCGGUUUGAAAGAACCGAGAGAUGUAGGCGUUCCUGCAAAGGUCGCUUUAAAUGCAUAGCCGGUCGGUUUGUAGGGAUGCUUGAAUCUUUACGCAAGUUGACUUGACCGUAUUUGAAUGGAACCUCGGUUCUUUUAUAGUGCGCAAUCUUCAACAGUAAAGGCUAGUCUUUGCAACCGGUUCGGUUCAAAAACAUAAGGAAAGUCGUGAGAUUUUCUUGAACCAUGGUCUCAAAUCAGGUAGGAAUACCCGCUGAACUUAAGCAUAUCAAUAAGCGGAGG
rnacentral:rRNA from 1 species